GGCAUCAUGGUCAGCGUGUUGCAGGGUCAGUUGACCACUUGGACACCUGGUUAUGACCAUUUCAGACUCUUUUGGAAACAAUCUGCUUUUAUUCCCAUUAGCAAACAAACUUGCUCAGCGGUUUGAUGUGACAAGCUACAGGCAGCGCCAGAGUGCGGUGUGCCAGCAUGAGAGGGAGUGAGCAGGGGGCAGGUUUUCUCUGGAAUCGUGCAUUGUAGGAAUAAAUCACGUGUGUGUUUGCACCUUCUCACGCCUAUGUGAAGAUGAAACUUUAGUGCUUGAGGUUAAAAAGAAUCCUGAUAAAGGAGUCUGGCUCUUUCCUCCCUGGUCUAGAAAACAGUUUCCCGUGAAGGACCAGGGACUGCAGAUUUUCGGCUUCAGGGCCCCACGGCCUCCACCCCCGCCACGCAGCUCUGUGGCUGUAGCCUGAAAGCAGCUGCAGCUGCCGUGCACAAGGGGCGGCUCUGGGCAGGAAACCACUUGCGAGCUGCCCCGCGGCUGGGGCGUCCCACAGAAGGAGCAGUGGGUUCUGUCCCACUGUGCUGCCUGCCAGGGAUUUCCACCAUGAGGGUGAAUCACGAGGGCUUCUCGUGGCCUGGUCUUACCUGCCUCUCUUGCAUGCAGGCUUUUUUUCUUUUUUAAACAAGGAAAGAAUAACUUUAUUAUCUGUCCUAACAAAACGAUGAUGUAUCUCCUCUGAAAGUGCCAAGAAGAACUUGCAGGCCCUGAAGGCCACACGGAAAAGGAAAUUCCCAACAUCUAAACACAGGGAGCAUCACUAGAAGGUCCUCCACGGGAGCCAGGUGGAUGCACUGGCGCAGCCUCCCCUGCUGCCCGACUCUGUGCCUGUGAGCCUGGGGUCUUUGUCAGUUACCGGCUGCUCCUCAUUCUACCUGAGGCCAGACUCCACUCCUGGAACUGGGGCUGCAGCUUUUCUCUGGAGGAUCCCAUCCCUUGUUCCUCAGCUCCAGCCCUGAGAGUCAUCUGUGCUCAUGCAGCAGUCCCAGACAUACACAACCAGGCCAUGGCUACUAUUCAGAAGCCGCCUUGCCUGGAGUAUCUCAAAGCAGCAUUUGACCCUUGCGGAGCGUUCCGUGCAUGAGUCCUGCAUCCAGACACCUGCCUUGUGCUUUCCUCAAACGUACUCAUUUAAUCCUCAGGAGAGUCCCACGAGGUAAGCAGCUUUAGCAUUCCUGUUUUACAGAUGGAAAAACUGAGGCACAGACCAGCUGUCACAUUUCCAGGCUGUCUGGGGCCAGAGUCUGUGCCCUGACCCCCGUGCCACGGAGCUCUGGUGAGCCCUGCAUCCCCCGCUGCUGCCUCACACACUUCGAUUUCUCCUCCACAGCUUUCUCUCAGCUACUCCAGGGUCCCAACCCCAUUUCUGUCUUCUUUCUGCAGUUGGAAAUGGUCAUUGUUUCACGAAUGCAGGGCUUUCACACCAGGUAUUUAGAAGCCCUUAAUGAAGGAAUCCAUUCCAGAAGAUAACACAUAUGGGCUUUUCUGGUAGAACAGAAAGAAUUAUUUAGUGGUCAGAGAGAAACUUUUGAAAUGGUCUUGACUUUCAGAGCUUGAAAAAUGACAACGAAAAGAAGCAGACUUAAUGAAAUGGCCUUUUAGAACACAGGGCUUGGGGAGGCGCUGAAGUCUGAUGCAGAGACCAAGCUCAGACGAGGGCAGUCCGCCUGUCACUGUGUUCUUCUAGAAUUUCAGCUCCUGGGGGCAGGAGUUCUGCCUGUUCCUGCUGUAUGGGCACAGAACAGUGCCUGACACAUCUUCCCGAUCCCCUGCGAUGGCUGGGCACCAUGCUGGGCAAUGGAAGGGCAGUGGCCUAUGAGAGUGCUGGAGUUCCUACACUCACAGAGGCUAGGACUAGAGGGAGAACAGUCUGUUCUGGUCUGGACCUCAGACUUUGGAUAAAUAUUACGGUUUAGGGAAGACUUUUAAAAUGGGUGGGAUUUCUGCCCAGCCGUGGCCACACCUCCUCUAAGGUCCCUCAAAGGCUUGUGCUACAAGGUCUGAGUGGGGCUAUCGGGCUUUGGAGGUCACUCACCCCACCAAGGCCUCAGGGGUCCUUCAUUCAUCCGGCUGCUGGUCCCACCUGGGAGUGGUGCACGUUUGAGUUAUGGACCCCCAAACACCUAGAAACAAAUAAUGUGUUCAUUUCUUUUCACAUUUGUUUAGAGAACAAGAGGCUAAUUACCACAGUAGCAUAAAGGUCAAUUAACUAUCCACAUAAUCAGGUUCACCAGGAGCUGCCCUUCUGUCCUCCGUUCCUGUGGACACCUUGCGGGUGGACGGCAUUGGAAGCAUUUGUCGGAUCCACUGUGCUUCCCGGGCUCCUGAGCCAGGAGGGGCUGUGUACAGUGUUGCC
ensembl:lncRNA